rnacentral:lncRNA from 1 species
UUACAUCUGCAAGUUGGAUUGCAUCACAAAAUAAGAAAACUUGAGAAAAUUCUCAAUAACUCUUUAUUGAAUAACUGAACUUCUCUCAAUCAUUAGUUUUUUUUUUUUUCUUUGAUGGCAAAAAAUUUACCAAGAAAAGGUUCUCAAUGCAAAGCCUACCAUCCUCCUUACCCAGGCUAUACUUCUCUUAACUAAGUGAGCUGAACAAGAGCCAUCUCCUACCCUCAAUUGAUGUCAAAAUAAGGAAGAAGCAUAUUUACUAGAAAUCACCUUCCAAGAGCUCUUAUAGGUAUUCAAAACAUUUACCUUUUUAUCCCAACCAUUCAGGGGAAGACCAAACUUACUCUUGAAGACCUGGUGCCAUGAUGAAUUCAUUCCCAAAGGAAACGUCCAUAACCAUUUGGUUAAAAGAAACAGAUUUUUGCCAAAAAAGUUUCCCGAUGCCAAGAUCACCAUCCUCUUUACUCAGACAGCACUUCUCCAACUAAAUUAUCUCUCUUAGGCUUGGUUGAACUUGAUUAGGAAAAUGAUUCUAUCGGUUUCUUAAUUUAUCAGGUACACCUCUAGGGAUCUUAAAAAGAGAGAAAAAUAAAGGGAAUAUUGGACAUGUAACAUCAAAUAAGAGGGAACCCCCUUCCCUAAAGAAAAAAAUGGUGCCUCAUAAUUCUUUAGGCAUUUAGAAAUCUUGCAAUGACAGAGUUCCAAAGGGGCCAACCCCAGGUUCUCCCGUACAGGAACGCCAAGAUAAAUAAAAGACUGCUCCAAAACUUAGUGUUCCAUAGAAUUUGCUAAGGCCCUCACUUUCUAGCUUUGCCAUUGACUAAAACAACAAAAGUUAUAGAGGAAAGGCAACCUUUGCUCUCCAGAAUUUUCCCAAGGCCUAAUCCAUGCAAUCAUAGGCCUUCUCUAAAUCCAACUUAAGAACUAACCUAAUAUAUCUCGACAUCCUAACAUCUUCUACAACCUGAUUGGCAAUAUGAGACACGACCAAAAUUUGCCUACUCCCUACAAU